rnacentral:lncRNA from 1 species
GUCAAACAUCAUUUCUCAGUGGUGAUGCCAUGUGAAUUCCUUGCUCAGUAUUCCUUUGCCCAACAGCCAGAAGAACGCAACCAGUCUUGCUUAGUAGCCACUACAUAUUUGAUACAUUGUCCUAUUUUAUAAAUAUAGCGCCGAGCAAAGGUUGUUUCUCUUCCUCACACUCUUAAAAUGUCGAUCCAAUUCCUAGCAUGUCAUCAAUUAUCAUGUGUGUACGAUUGAAGGAGUAAGUAUGUACUCACAUAUUUACGGCUAAUUCUUUAUCCACUUCAUAUUUUAAUAUCAUUUGAUUGCAUGAAUGAGAUUUGGACGGGUUGGAACUCAAGGCAACUAUAUUUGCUUAUUUGUGAAGGAACUUCACCAUUUUGGAAAAAAAUCUCAUCACCCCUUUCCAUUGCCUCUUACAUAAUGUGGAAAUGGAUGUGUUUUUAGGGUUUUUAAUUUGGUUGGUUCAUCCAUUUGUAUAAAAGUAUAUCAUAUAUUGGAUGCUAUUAUUAGAUUAAAUGCUCAUAGUCAUUUCCUAAUGGCUAAUAGGCUAUAUUAUAUAGGGCUUUAAAUCCCCCUACAUGUUCAGUCUACAUAAGCAACCAACCAUAUGUAUAUAUGAUAUUUUUAUCAUAUUGGUAUGUUAGCUUAAGUCAUUUUUACUUAAAUGCUGAACCUUGAUUAA